rnacentral:rRNA from 1 species
UACGAGGGGGGCGAGCGUUGUUCGGAAUUAUUGGGCGUAAAGGGUGCGUAGGCGGUUCCGCAAGUCCUGUGUGAAAUCUUCGGGCUCAACUCGAAGUCUGCACGGGAAACUGCGGGGCUUGAGUGUGGGAGAGGUGAGUGGAAUUCCCGGUGUAGCGGUGAAAUGCGUAGAUAUCGGAAGGAACACCUGUGGCGAAAGCGGCUCACUGGACCAUUACUGACGCUGAUGCACGAAAGCUAGGGGAGCAACAGG